rnacentral:rRNA from 1 species
GGGGAAUAUUGCACAAUGGGCGAAAGCCUGAUGCAGCAACGCCGCGUGAGCGAUGAAGGCCUUUGGGUCGUAAAGCUCUGUCCUUGGGGAAGAAAAAAAUGACGGUACCCUUGGAGGAAGCCCCGGCUAACUACGUGCCAGCAGCCGCGGUAAUACGUAGGGGGCAAGCGUUAUCCGGAAUUAUUGGGCGUAAAGAGUGCGUAGGUGGUCCUGUAAGCGCGGGGUGAAAGGCAAUAGCUCAACUAUUGUAAGCCUUGCGAACUGUGGGACUUGAGUGCAGGAGAGGAAAGCGGAAUUCCUAGUGUAGCGGUGAAAUGCGUAGAUAUUAGGAGGAACACCAGUGGCGAAGGCGGCUUUCUGGACUGUAACUGACACUGAGGCACGAAAGCGUGGGGAGCAAAC